GACGAACGCUGGCGGCGUGCUUAACACAUGCAAGUCGAACGGAAAGGCCCUGCUUUUGUGGGGUGCUCGAGUGGCGAACGGGUGAGUAACACGUGAGUAACCUGCCCUUGACUUUGGGAUAACUUCAGGAAACUGGGGCUAAUACCGGAUAGGAGCUCCUGCUGCAUGGUGGGGGUUGGAAAGUUUCGGCGGUUGGGGAUGGACUCGCGGCUUAUCAGCUUGUUGGUGGGGUAGUUGCUUACCAAGGCUUUGACGGGUAGCCGGCCUGAGAGGGUGACCGGCCACAUUGGGCCUGCGAUACGGCCCAGACUGCUACGGGAGGCAGCAGUGGGGAAUCUUGUACAAUGGGCGGACGCCUGAUGCAGAAACGCUGCGUGCGGGAUGACGGUCUUCGGGUUGUAAAAAGCUUUCGCCUGUGACGAAGCGUGAGUGACGGUAAUGGGUAAAGAAGCACCGGCUAACUACGUG
rnacentral:rRNA from 1 species